UACGUAGGGUGCAAGCGUUAAUCGGAAUUACUGGGCGUAAAGCGUGCGCAGGCGGUGAUGUAAGACAGAUGUGAAAUCCCCGGGCUCAACCUGGGAAUUGCAUUUGUGACUGCACGGCUAGAGUGUGUCAGAGGGGGGUAGAAUUCCACGUGUAGCAGUGAAAUGCGUAGAGAUGUGGAGGAAUACCGAUGGCGAAGGCAGCCCCCCUGGGAUAACACUGACGCUCAUGCACGAAAGCGUGGGGAGCAAACAGG
rnacentral:rRNA from 1 species